UGCGGCUGGAACACCUCCUUUCUAGAGACAUAAAAAAGACCUAGGGUCUUACUCUCGCUGUUAGUUCAAAAAAAAAGACUUAAAAUACAGAGUCUCGUAGCUCAGCUGGUUAGAGUACUACACUGAUAAUGUAGGGGUCGGCAGUUCGAGUCUGCCCGGGACUACUUUUAACAAGUAUUUUAAGAGAAAAAGGAAAUUUUAGAAGUUGAGUCCUUGAAUUUUGAAAUUUGAGAUUUAAAUUUUGAAAUUGAAAACGGGGGAUUAGCUCAGCUGGCUAGAGCGCCUGCCUUGCACGCAGGAGGUCAUCGGUUCGACUCCGAUAUUCUCCACGAAAAAAAUGAUAAUUAUCAAUUGAUAAUUGUUAAUUGAUUAAAGUUCAUUGACAUAUUGAGAUAAACAUACAAACAAGUAGAAAGAACACGAUUAAUACGGCGCACAGCAGUAUUAAUUAUAAUAAAGAUAUUUACUAGUGAUAGUAAAAAAGAAACAAUAAGCAAAAUAAGGGCGUAUGGGGGAUGCCUAG
rnacentral:tRNA from 1 species